GCGUGCCACCACACCUGGCUGAACCUUUUGAUUCCAAUGGUUUUGUGAUAUUUUCUGGAUUAAGUGACUGUCGAGCCAUUUUCACAGAUCACUUCAGGCCACUUGCAGGAAGUCAUUUUCACACAAUUUAAACAGACUUAAUUAAGUGUGACUCUCCCAAGACCCUCUGCAGGCAGUCUGAUCUGGGAUUAUGGUUAGGAGAGAAAGGGACAGCUGAAUCACAUUCAGGAGAAUUGUCAAAGCAGAAUUCUGAGUUUAAAAUACUUUUUGAAGUAGAUCUCUGCUGUCCCCCUGCACCCACCUUCUGCCCUUCUUGUCUCAGUCAUAAUCUAGUGAAAGGCAAGAUCAGCAAUGGCACUGAAUAACCAGACAUCUCGAGGAGUUCAAGUGCCAGGAAAAGGUGAGGGCCAGAGUCCUGCUGGAAGCCAACUGCUGCUUGACUUCUGAAGAAACACGAAAAGCACAAAUUGCCAAGCUGCAGAAGCCAGAGAGAGCAGACACAAACACCCCACAGUGGGACUCUGCAUCAGAAGGAGGUGCAGAGUCCCACCUGCCUCAUCUGCCCAGACUGAGGGGCCUUGCUCCUCGUCAUGUGACCUUCCUUGCCUUGCAGCUUACUCUAGGGAAUCCCCCUCUCCCCUGCAUGGCCCGUCAGCCAUGGCCGUGUCAGAGGACAGCCCAUUCUGUGACAGUCUGUGUGUGACCCAGACAGGCUCCCUGUAUUCCUGACUUGUCCCUGAAGCUCACAUUCCUGAAACAGGCUGUCUUUUGACACUCUUUGAGUCCUCACUGCACAGGGUAACACCAUCUGUUUUCAGCUUUGCAAAGCUGAAAACUAAAAUGGGCAUCUGUGAGCUGGGCCACACAAUUAUAGAUCUAAGACUUCCCCAACCCCUGAAAGGCAGCAGCUUUUCCUUGCUCCAGCCAGGAGAAGGGGCCAAGAGACUGUCUCGCAGGGCCUGUGUGGAAGCAGCCAUGGUUAGGGUUGACUUGCCCCAAACAGGGGCCCCUUAUUUGAGCUCAUCAGUCAAGCCCAGGGACUGCUGUUUAAAGGCAGGCACUGCAUCCUAGUAACCACAUCACAAACCUGCCAAUGUAUACCUUGACCCAGGAACUGCCAUUUCAUGCUUUCUUGGUGUACUGCCCUUUCUUAGGCAAAAACACAAAAAUCCAGGACUGAGACCAAUUCUGACUCCCCCACCCAGAGUCUAGUAAGAUUCUAGUCCUCCCCUUGCCCCAGUGCUUAUCUUAGGUUGACAUGAUGAAACCCAGGUGGAAAGGCCCCUGCUCGGGUGGUCAGUCUCAAGGACAGUGAUAGAAAUGGAUUUUCUUUAUUAUGUACAGGAAGAAGAGACAACUAAAAAGGGAGAGAAAGUUUGCUGCUUGGAGACAGGAUAAAAGUGGUCCCGGUUUCUCCCUCUCCUCUUUUGGGAUAUAAAUACAUCUCUCCAGGAGCCAGAUCAACUCUGGUGGCUCCAAGGUCUUGGGCCUUAUCCUCCUUGAAAUGUGAAGACCUGAGUUACUGCUGAGGAUCCCAAGUUUUCAGCAGCUCCAACUUUUCAAGGGCAAAAAAGAUGCUGCUGCUCUUCAGUGAUGAUUGCUUCACCAGGCCCUGUUAGCAGCAGAACUGGAGCAAGAGCAGUGGCCCAGGAGCAUGUGCUGCUCCAGCCCCUAGCUUUGCUCAGUCACAGCUGCAGCUCAGGGCCCUGGGCUGCCAGGCUAACGCCUGAGGUGGGCGGGUGAGCAGGCACCAGGUUGCUGAGGGGGACUGGAAAUGAGAAAAGCUUCAGCUCGAGGGAGAUGGCAGUCUUUAUAUGUGCAGCCCUUUGGAAAGGGGCUAGUUCAGGAGUAAAUGGGGACUAUCAGUCUCAGAUGUCUAAGAAGGGCUAGCGAAGAUUUUGGAGUCCUUCCCUGAGCUGAAACCCAAGAGAGCACUUUUUUUUUUUUGGUACCAGGGAUCAAACUGGGGUCCUUGCGCUUGCGCAGCAGGCGGCGAAACCACUGAGCUAAAUCCCCGGCCCAGGAGCAUUUUUUGUAAUUUUUUUUUCCUUAAGGGGGCUUGGGGAACCAUCCAAGGUUUGUACAGGACCAAGAAAGAGGUCAGAUAACCUUUGCAGAUGGAUCUAGAAGGUUCUGUCUGACAUCCAGAGGAAACCUGGAUGCCCUGGGUCAAAGGUGCCGUGACUGCGGUUUAGAGUGAAGCUGCAGUAAGCACUUGGGAGCUGUGAUCACAUGACCCUCUCCUGCAGAGAUCAGAGCCAGAGGCUGGGGCCCCCUUCAAGGUUUUCCAGUGGUCAUGAACUUUAUGUUUGAUUGCUAAGGCAGUGAUGUGAAGAAAGGCUGAGGUUUUGCUGAGGUGCAACUGUCCAGAUGAAGUGUGAAGCCUUACUGUUGUGUUGAAAAGCAGAAGGACCCGAGUUCAAUCCCCGAUAUCAAAAAAAAAAAAAAAAGAAAAGAAUCUGCAGUCUGAAAAAAGUAACACAUUAGGUCUUUAAAGUUUCUAAUGGCCUAGAAAUGCUUCUCGGUAAAACUACAUGUAUGUGGGCUAUUUUCCUGCAGUACCUUUUAUCUUUUAAAAGCUAAUAUUUCAGAGAGUCUGUAAUCAACAAAAACAGCUGGAGCAGGAUAGGCCGUCUGGGCACGUGAAAGGGACCACUUAUGCAGAAACUCAGCAUUGAUGCUUUCCAGAUUGGAGCACUGUGGUUCAGAGGCAGGAGGGACGACGGCCAGCUGGGGAGAGUGGACUGUGGGUAGAGAAGGCCUACCCUGAUCCUGGGGCGGGUCCUGUUCAUUUCUGUGGGUCACCUGACCCCACCUCCAUCAGUAGGAGAGAAGUAUUUUUAUGUUGCAGUUGCUCAGUAGAGCGCAUGUAUUUGUGAGUAGUGUGGGUAGGAGGCAGCAUUGUUGCUGGAGGAGAACAACUACCGGAAGCAUGUCCACUCCACCUGCUGGACUACCGUCGGCUCUGGCCCGCGCUGGGCCUCCGCUAGGCACAUGCGCAUUGGUGACUUGGCCUUUGCUUUGCACCGCAGCCUGCCUGCAGAGGGCCAGCGGGGAGGGCACGGCCGCCCCAGCCAACCAGCUCCGCCCAGAGUCCCGGGGGCCAGUGGGCCCAGAGCCAGUCACUGCUGGAGAACUACUACCCGAGCCUGCAGCAGGGGCGGGUCAUGGACCUGUGGCCAAGACCAUCAUGUGCUCACCUGCUGCCUGAGCAAAGGGGCCGGCGGGCGGCUCCAGAGCGAGUGGCGUGUCCGGGGCUCUGUUCAUGGUGAUACAAUUAAGCCCUGCGUGCUCACCUCGCCCUCACCACAGGCCCGCCGCAAUUGUGGGGACUCCAGGGCUCCUUGGACGGUGCACGCAGGUGGUUGCAAGCAGAGCCAAGAAGGCGACGGGGAGGGGAUGGGGUGAUCUGAGCGCCGUCUUGGGAGGGUGUGCGCGCCAGAGCCCCAGAAAGAGCCGGGAGAAGCGCUCGGUCCCCGCCGGGUUGGGGCUGAUGGCAGGUGUGGUGCUCUAGGCCAUCCAAGGGCCAAGUCCGAAGAAGAGGAAACCGUGGUACCCAGGGAACUGAGGGUGAGGGUCGGCCCCCCAGGGGCUCCUGGCUCAGCAGUGUUGUCAGGUACUCUGGAUCUGCACCAAUUGCUUGGAGCCACACGGAGCCUGUGAAAGAAUGUUGUGUCCUUCAGUGUGACUUGUUUUCUGGGGAGAGGAGGGAUUCCUAAACCACGGCUUCAGAGCUCUCUCUUAGCACCUGUUCGGGCAGAGCCCAGGCCUUGUUGGAAGAAGAGGCUUCUACUGGUCUAAUCAUCUCCAAGCCGACCCAGUCACAGAGACAUGGGGCUAGGAUGGAUCGAGGCCCUUUCAAGACCAGAGACACCUUUUCUCAGCACAUGGCAAAUUAUAGAAGACCCUCUAAAUCUGACUCAAAUGAGAUGUGAAUUUGCUUCACAUAAGAAGAAGCUUGAGGCAGGCAUCCUGGCACAGGCAUGGCUCAACAAAGCUGUCAGAAACCUGGCCUGAAAAAAAGAAAAAAAGAAAUCUGGCCUUGCUCUCUUUCUGCCUUCCUUAUUGGCCUUUUUUUUUUUUUUUUUUUUUUUUGAGACAGAGUCUCAUGUAAUUCAGGCUGUCCUUGAGCUCACUAUGUAGGCCAGGCUGGCCUCAAACUUGUGUUGACCCUCCUGCCUCAGCCUCCUGAGUGCUGGGACUACAGCCAUGCACCACCACGCUUGUUCUCUUGUAGUCACAAGAUGGCUGCAUCCUCAAUAUCCAAGCAGGAAGAAGGAAUCAAGAAGGAGAGGGUAAAAGAUGAAGGGUCUUUUAAAGUCUCAUUGGCCAUAGUUGUGUCAUAUGUCAGCUAGUUUUAAGUGAGAGCAGAGACUGAGUAUUGAGCUUUGCUGCCUCCAUACUAGAAGACAAGGGAAAAAUGAUUGAAGGUGUUUUGAAUGGGCCAACCUACAUUCUCUGCCACAGGAGUUACAAUAAAAUAUUACUGAAGAGGAGAGAUUGUAAACUAUAUCUCUCAGAAACAAAAUACUGCUCACACUAGGCUCUACAAGCAUAAAAUGUUUCCUCCCAGGUGAGAAGAAGGUCAUGGUCAGGAUUUGUGUUUGGUCAGAAAAGCUAUCAGUUGGGGAGAGGGUUGGUCAAGAAAUGUAUCCAUAUGCCUAACCAGUGCCCUACAAGAAAAACCUGAAGUGCUAAGAAUGACACGGAACAAAGGUUGACCAAGUGUAAUAUCCCUAACUUGGAAAGAAAAGUUAAAGAGUACUAAUACUGGUAGAAGAACUGACAUGUCAAAUCUUAUUCCAGGUAUUUUCAGACGUUUUCCCACAGAAACCUUUGAGCUGGUACUGUUUCUCGUAUUGAACAAAUGAUGUUGUUAAAUAACAUGCAAAGAGGGCCAUGGUCAGUAAGUGCAAGUGGAGGAUUUGAGCCCAGGUCUGCUUAACAAACUCCAGGCCUCCCCUUAUUUCCCUAAGGGACCCAGGGGCCUCCAGACCCCACAGGACAAGUCUGGCUUUUUUUCCUCGGGACAGCCCUGCUCAGACAUCCAGAUGUCUCCAAAUAGUAUUCUGCCUGUGAUUGCCACCAACCAAUGCUCUUCACUAGAAUUGAAGCUCUUCGAGGGCAAGGAUUGUGUCCUGUUUGCUGUUAUUUCCCUGGUAACUGCCAUAUAGUAUAUGCUCAAUAAACAUUUGCUGACUAGGAAAUGACUGAGGGACUGUGUUAUUAUAACACUGCACUGUGAAUACUAUUGCUUAGAGGAAAAUAAUUUGCUGUUGAAUAAACUAGCUUGUUCAUUCCA